GAUGAAUGCUGGCGGCGUGCCUAACACAUGCAAGUCGAGCGGCAGCGAGGGGUGCUUGCACCCUGUCGGCGAGCGGCGAACGGCUGAGUAACGCGUAGGAAUUUGCCCCAAAGUGAGGAAUAACUGCCCGAAAGGGUAGCUAAUGCCGCAUAUGGUCUUCGGAUUAAAGGAUUUAUCCGCUUUGGGAGAAGCCUGCGUUGGAUUAGGUUGUUGGUAGGGUAAUGGCCUACCAAGCCGACGAUCCAUAGCUGGUCUGAGCGGAUGAUCAGCCAGACUGGAACUGAGACACGGUCCAGACUCCUACGGGAGGCAGCAGUGAGGAAUCUUCCACAAUGGGCGAAAGCCUGAUGGAGCAACGCCGCGUGAAGGAUGAAGGCCUUCGGGUUGUAAACUUCUUUUAUGAGUGAAGAAUAUGACGGUAACUCAUGAAUAAGCACCGGCUAACUACGUG
rnacentral:rRNA from 1 species